rnacentral:rRNA from 1 species
CAUGCAAGUCGAGGGGAAACGACAUCGAAAGCUUGCUUUUGAUGGGCGUCGACCGGCGCACGGGUGAGUAACGCGUAUCCAACCUGCCCAUCACUUGGGGAUAACCUUGCGAAAGUAAGACUAAUACCCAAUGAUAUCUCUAGAAGGCAUCUGAAAGAGAUUAAAGAUUUAUCGGUGAUGGAUGGGGAUGCGUCUGAUUAGCUUGUUGGCGGGGUAACGGCCCACCAAAGCAACGAUCAGUAGGGGUUCUGAGAGGAAGGUCCCCCACAUUGGAACUGAGACACGGUCCAAACUCCUACGGGAGGCAGCAGUGAGGAAUAUUGGUCAAUGGACGAGAGUCUGAACCAGCCAAGUAGCGUGCAGGAUGACGGCCCUAUGGGUUGUAAACUGCUUUUAUAAGGGAAUAAAGUGAGUCUCGUGAGACUUUUUGCAUGUACCUUAUGAAUAAGGAUCGGCUAAUUCCGUGCCAGCAGCCGCGGUAAUACGGAAGGUCCGGGCGUUAUCCGGAUUUAUUGGGUUUAAAGGGAGCGUAGGCCGGAGAUUAAGCGUGUUGUGAAAUGUAGAUGCUCAACAUCUGCACUGCAGCGCGAACUGGUCUCCUUGAGUACGCACAAAGUGGGCGGAAUUCGUGGUGUAGCGGUGAAAUGCUUAGAUAUCACGAAGAACUCCGAUUGCGAAGGCAGCUCACUGGAGCGCAACUGACGCUGAAGCUCGAAAGUGCGGGUAUCGAACAGGAUUAGAUACCCUGGUAGUCCGCACGGUAAACGAUGGAUGCCCGCUGUUGGUCUGAAUAGGUCAGCGGCCAAGCGAAAGCAUUAAGCAUCCCACCUGGGGAGUACGCCGGCAACGGUGAAACUCAAAGGAAUUGACGGGGGCCCGCACAAGCGGA